GACGAACGCUGGCGGCGUGCCUAAUACAUGCAAGUAGAACGCUGAAGCGAGGAGCUUGCUCUUCUUGGAUGAGGUGCGAACGGGUGAGUAACGCGUAGGUAACCUGCCUUGUAGCGGGGGAUAACUAUGGGAAACGAUAGCUAAUACCGCAUAACACUAGGUGACACAUGUUAUUUAUUUGAAAGGGGCAAUUGCUCCACUACAAGAUGGACCUGCGUUGUAUUAGCUAGUAGGUGAGGUAACGGCUCACCUAGGCGACGAUACAUAGCCGGACUGAGAGGGUGGACCGCCCACACUGGACCGGGGACCCGCCCAGACCCCCUCGGGGAGCAGCAAUAAGGGAACUUCGGCAAAUGGGGGAACCCCUGCCGAGGAAAGCCGCGGGGGGGGAGAAAGGUUUCGGGUCGGAAAGCUCUGUUGUUAGGCGAGAAAGAGUGUGGGAAGGGAAAGUUCACACUGUGACGGUAGCUAACCAGAAAGGGACGGCUAACUACGUG
rnacentral:rRNA from 1 species